UACGGAGGGUGCAAGCGUUAUCCGGAUUCACUGGGUUUAAAGGGUGCGUAGGCGGGCAGGUAAGUCCGUGGUGAAAUCUCUGAGCUUAACUCAGAAACUGCCAUGGAUACUAUUUGUCUUGAAUGUUGUGGAGGUAAGCGGAAUAUGUCAUGUAGCGGUGAAAUGCUUAGAUAUGACAUAGAACACCAAUUGCGAAGGCAGCUUACUACACAAAUAUUGACGCUGAGGCACGAAAUCGUUGGGAUCAAACAGG
rnacentral:rRNA from 1 species